rnacentral:misc_RNA from 1 species
GAUGAAGAACGCAGCGAAAUGCGAUAAGUAAUGUGAAUUGCAGAAUUCAGUGAAUCAUCGAAUCUUUGAACGCACCUUGCGCCCUUUGGCCAUUCCGAAGGGCAUGCCUGUUUGAGUAUCAUGAACACCUCAACUCUUCAUGGUUUUUCGUGAUGAGCUUGGACUUUGGGGGUCUUGCUGGCCUAUGGUCAGCUCCUCUAAAAUAAAUCAGCUUGCCAGUGUUUGGUGGGUAUCACAGGUGUGAUAACUAUCUACGCUUGUGGUUUUCCACCAGGUAACCUUCAGCAGUGGAGGUUCGCUGGAGCUCACAGAUGUGUCUCUCCUCAGUGAGGACAGCUCUUUGAAUGUUUGAUCUCAAAUCAGGUAGGACUACCCGCUGAACUUAAGCAUAUCAAUAAGCGGAGGA